rnacentral:rRNA from 1 species
AUCGAACGCUGGCGGCAUGCCUUACACAUGCAAGUCGAACGGCAGCACGGGAGCAAUCCUGGUGGCGAGUGGCGAACGGGUGGGUAAUGUAUCGGAACGUACCAUUGAGUGGGGGAUAACGUAGCGAAAGUUACGCUAAUACCGCAUAUACCCUGAGGGGGAAAGCAGGGGAUCGCAAGACCUUGUGCUCUUUGAGCGGCCGAUAUCAGAUUAGCUAGUUGGUGAGGUAAAGGCUCACCAAGGCGACGAUAUGUAGUGGGUCUGAGAGGCUGAUCCGACAGACUGGAACUGAGACACGGUCCAGACUCCUACAGGAGGCAGCAGUGGGGAAUUUUGGACAAUGGGGGCAACCCUGAUCCAGCCAUGCCGCGUGAGUGAGAAGGCCUUCGGGUCGUAAAGCUCUUUCGGCCGGGAGGAAAUCGCAUCAGCUAAUACCUGGUGUGGAUGACAGUACCGGAAUAAGAAGCACCGGCUAACUACGUGCCAGCCGCCGCGGUAA